UUCAUUUGCUUGAGACAGGGUCUCAUGUA
rnacentral:piRNA from 2 species